rnacentral:rRNA from 1 species
GCUUACGGCCAUACCAGCCUGGGUACGCCCGAUCUCGUCUGAUCUCUGAAGCUAAGCAGGGUCGAGCCUGGUUAGUACUUGGAUGUGAGACCGCCUGGAAAUACCAGGUGCUGUAAGCA